rnacentral:rRNA from 1 species
GACAGAGGUGCCGAGCGUUAGGCGGAAUCACUGGGCUUAAAGCGUGUGUAGGCGGAUCUGUAAGUACCUUGUGAAAUCCCACGGCUCAACCGUGGAACUGCUUGGUAUACUGCGGGUCUUGAGCCACCUAGGGGCAAGUGGAACAAACGGUGGAGCGGUGAAAUGCGUAGAUAUCGUCUGGAACGCCGAAGGUGAAAACAGCUCGCUGGGGUUGUGCUGACGCUGAGACACGAAAGCCAGGGGAGCGAACGGG